CAGAGCAAAAGAACUUGAUACCCUUACUACUUCUAUUCAAUAUUUUACUGGAAGUUGUAGCCAGGUGAAUUACAGCAAGAAAAAGAAAUAAGGCAGCUGGGCGCGGUGGCUCACGCCUGUAAUCCCAGCACUCUGGGAGGCCAAGGUGGGCAGAUCACCUGAGGUUGGGAGUUCGAGACCAGCCUGACCAACAAAAAAUAAAAUUAGCUGGGUGUGGUGCCGCAUGCCUGUAAUCCCAGCUACUUGGGAGGCUGAGGCAGGAGAAUCACUUGAACUCAGGAGGCGUAAGUUGUGGUGAGCCGAGAUCAUGCCAUUGCAUUCCAGCCUGGGUAACAAGAGUGAAACUCCAUCUCAAAACAAAAAAAAAAACAAAACAAAAUAAGGCUGGGCAUGGUGGCUCAUGCCCAUAAUCCUAGCACUCUGGGACGCCAAGGUGGGAGGAUCACUUGAACCCAGGAGUUCGUGACCAGCCUGGGCAACAUGGUGAGACCCCUGCUCUACAAAAAUACAAAAACCUAGCUGGGUGUGCUGGGUGCAGUGGCACGUGCCUGUAAGUCCCAGCUACUGGGGAGGCUGAGGCAGGACCAUCACCUGAGCUCAGGAGUUUGAGGCUGCAGUGAGCUAGGAUUGCACCACUGCUCUGGUGACUGAACAAGACCCUAUCUCAAAAAAAAAUAAUAA
rnacentral:lncRNA from 10 species